rnacentral:rRNA from 1 species
AGGGUGCGAGCGUUAUCGGAAUUACUGGGCGUAAAGCGAGCGCAGACGGUUACUUAAGCAGGAUGUGAAAUCCCCGGGCUCAACCUGGGAACUGCGUUCUGAACUGGGUGACUAGAGUGUGUCAGAGGGAGGUAGAAUUCCACGUGUAGCAGUGAAAUGCGUAGAGAUGUGGAGGAAUACCGAUGGCGAAGGCAGCCUCCUGGGAUAACACUGACGUUCAUGCUCGAAAGCGUGGGUAGCAAACAGGAUUAGAUACCCUGGUAGUCAAGGGCG